GACGAACGCUGGCGGCGUGCUUAACACAUGCAAGUCGAACGGAAAGGCCCCUUUGGUGGUACUCGAUUGGCGAGCGGGUGAGUAACACGUGCGUAACCUGCCCUCGACUUCGGGAUAACUUCAGGAAACUGGGGCUAAUACCGGAUAGGAAUCCUUUCUGCAUGGUGGGGGUUGGAAAGCUUCGGCGGUUUUGGAUGGACUCGCGGCUUAUCAGCUUGUUGGUGGGGUAGUGGCUUACCAAGGCUUUGACGGGUAGCCGGCCUGAGAGGGGGACCGGCCACUUUGGGACUGAGAUAGGGCCCAGACUCCUACGGAGGCAGGAGGGGGGAAUAUUGGACAAUGGGCGGAAGCCUGAUGCAGCAACGCCGCGUGCGGGAUGACGGCCUUCGGGUUGUAAACCGGUUUCAGCAGGGGCGAAGCUUGUGGUGACGGUACCUGCAGAAGAAGCACCGGCUAACUACGUG
rnacentral:rRNA from 1 species